GUGCCAGCAGCCGCGGUAAUACGUAUGGGUGUGAGCGUUGUCCGGAUUUAUUGGGCGUAAAGGGCUCGUAGGUGGUUGAUCGCGUCGGAAGUGUAAUCUUGGGGCUUAACCCUGAGCGUGCUUUCGAUACGGGUUGACUUGAGGAAGGUAGGGGAGAAUGGAAUUCCUGGUGGAGCGGUGGAAUGCGCAGAUAUCAGGAGGAACACCAGUGGCGAAGGCGGUUCUCUGGGCCUUUCCUGACGCUGAGGAGCGAAAGCGUGGGGAGCGAACAGGCUUAGAUACCCUGGUAGUCCACGCUGUAAACGGUGGGUACUAGGUGUGGGGUCCAUUCCACGGGUUCCGUGCCGUAGCUAACGCUUUAAGUACCCCGCCUGGGGAGUACGGCCGCAAGGCUAAAACUCAAAGGAAUUGACGGGGCCCCGCACAAGCGGCGGAGCAUGCGGAUUAAUUCGAUGCAACGCGUAGAACCUUACCUGGGUUUGACAUGGAUCGGGAGUGCUCAGAGAUGGGUGUGCCUCUUUUGGGGUCGGUUCACAGGUGGUGCAUGGCUGUCGUCAGCUCGUGUCGUGAGAUGUUGGGUUAAGUCCCGCAACGAGCGCAACCCUUGUUCACUGUUGCCAGCACGUUAUGGUGGGGACUCAGUGAGACCGCCGGGGUCAACUCGGAGGGAGGUGGGGAUGACGUCAAGUCAUCAUGCCCCUUUAUGUCCAGGGCUUCACGCAUGCUACAUGGCUGGUACAGAGAGUGACGAGCCUGUGAGGGUGAGCGAUCUCGAAGCCGACUCAGUUCGAUGGUCUGCACUCGACUCAUGGAGUCGGAGUCGCUAGUAUCGCAGAUCAGCAACGCUGCCGUA
rnacentral:rRNA from 1 species